AUAACGACUCUCGGCAACGGAUAUUGGCUCUCGCAUCGAUGAAGAACGUAGCAAAAUGCGAUACUUGGUGUGAAUUGCAGAAUCCCGUGAACCAUGAGUUUUGAACGCAAGUUGCGCCUAAGCCAUUAGGCCGAGGGCAGUUGCCUGGGUGUCACGC
rnacentral:rRNA from 1 species